AGAGCAGUAGUUUUGACGAACCCAGCUCUCAAUUAACACUCAUUUGAUUUCUUCUGCUGAGUGCGGGCGAUAAGUAAGAGAUGACCCAGUUACAGGUGCGGGGGGGCACAACCAACACUGAGGUGACUGAGUCGGGGGAAGGGCAGCUCCUCUGCAAAAUGCUUCAGGCUCCCAAGGAGGCAGGCCCAGAGUGGGCAGGUCUGGACUUACUGCUGUACAGACAAGGGGGAAAUUCAAUAGCUACCAUUUAUUGAGUUUCUGCUAGGUGCCAGGAACUCUGCAAUGUAUGUCAUUCUUCUAAACCCUCCAGACAAUGGUAUUAAACCAUAUUAAUAUUCUGAAAACCAAAACAAACACCCACUACACUUGACACAUUUUUUUUUUGUACCAUAAUGAAAGCCUAUGUGUUUGGGCCCACAGUUUCAGCCAGGAUUUUGACCUGGGGCCUCCUAACUGAUCCUGAGGCUUUAAGACCACACAGCAUGGGUCUGCGAAUUGCAAAUGGGAGGCUUACUUUUCCCAUUCUUAUCCAAGCCUCCAGAAGUGGCUCUGGAGCUAGAUCCAGCCUCCUUUCUUACGAAGCCUUGGAUACAUCCCACUUAGCUUGACAAACUUUUACCGGAAUUCUCUGAUCCCAUUUCACAGCUGUUGCAAAGGUAGGGUCUUGGUUGUGUCUUCCUUCAAGCUGCUUAUGAACCAGGGGUGGAGACUAGGAAGUAAGGAACCCUGGAAUCAGAGAAGUCAGGAGCAAGCAUCUUGUUGGCUUGAGGUUCUCCAGGCACCAUAAAUCAAGUAGUGCGCAUACUAAGAAAACAAGCUGGACAACAAGAGGAGAGCAGGAGGGUCCUUAGGAUUGGCUGCUUGUACCAUGGCCCCCAGUGGCUCAGUAGAGACAAGGGGAAUCCCAGGUAAGUAGACUCCUUCGCUCCCCAGAGAGGAAUCUAUUGUGUCAAUUGCUGGGAAACACGCUCAGUUGAACUGACCCUCUAUAGCCGUAUGUGCGUGUGGAAUCCAUUGUUAGGGAAACCAUGGUGAGAAGGGAAGUGAGAUGCUCUGGAUGGGUGCUGAGCUGAGUGCUGAUGGAACAGACCUUCCAGAAAAGGUUGCAUAUUAUCCAAGGAAAUAUCAUUGCCUGGAGAGUCCUAGGCUGACUUGCUCUCUUGGGAGCUGAUGUUUAGGGAAUGGGAGAAGCAGCUGGUUUAAAGCAUCAAACAAUGUGAAAUGAACUUCAGAAUCUGCCAAAUCCUAAACAUUUCUUGCUAAGCACCAUUUUUUCUGUAUUGUGAACCCAUCUGUGCUUCAAAAGCAAUUUUGUUUAAAUGGCUUCUUCCCCUUACUCCUAAUCCUUGGGAAGCUGUAAUACACAGGUGGUAAAGGGGACUCCCCAAGAGAUGCUCACUAGGACUGCUGUGAGCCAGAUACUGGGCUGACACUGCAUAGCACCGAGGGUGUGGGAGACCAGAAGUCAGGAGCCUGCAUUCUCAGGGGAGGGACUGGAUCCCUGCAAGGAAACAAAGUGUGGUGUGUGUGGCUUCAUGAUCCACUGGCCUAGGUCUAAUAGCGGAUCUUUUUGCAAAUUUAUUUUUUUCUUUUCUUUUCUUUUCUUUCUUUUCUUUUCUUUUUUCUUUUCUUUUCUUUUCUUUUCUUUUC
rnacentral:lncRNA from 1 species